rnacentral:rRNA from 1 species
GCACAGAGUUAGCCGCCACUUCCUUUCGCCUUGGUCAACCAUGCCGCUAUUAACGACAUGGCAUUCCUAGAGCGUGACAGCAGUUUACAACCCGAAGGCCUUCGUCCUGCACGCGGUGUCGCUCCGUCAGGCUUUCGCCCAUUGCGGAAGAUUCUCGACUGCAGCCUCCCGUAGGAGUCUGGGCAGUGUCUCAGUCCCAGUGCGGCUGGUCGUCCUCUCAGACCAGCUACCCGUCAUCGCCUUGGUGAGCCGUUACCUCGCCAACUAGCUGAUAGGACGCAAUCCCCUCCCCGAGCAGCAGCUUUCGCCACCGUUUACCCACAGACCGAUGCCGGUCCGGGGGGCUAUCUGGCAUUACCCACCGUUUCCAGUGGCUAUUCCAGUCUCGAGGGCAGGUUGAUUACGCGUUACUCGCCCGUCCGCCGCUUUACUCGUCCGAAGACUUUCGCGCGCGACUUGCAUGCCUAAUCCACACCGCCAACGUUCGUU